rnacentral:rRNA from 1 species
AAUGGGUCAGCGACUUAUAUUCUGUAGCAAGGUUAACCGAAUAGGGGAGCCGAAGGGAAACCGAGUCUUAACUGGGCGUUAAGUUGCAGGGUAUAGACCCGAAACCCGGUGAUCUAGCCAUGGGCAGGUUGAAGGUUGGGUAACACUAACUGGAGGACCGAACCGACUAAUGUUGAAAAAUUAGCGGAUGACUUGUGGCUGGGGGUGAAAGGCCAAUCAAACCGGGAGAUAGCUGGUUCUCCCCGAAAGCUAUUUAGGUAGCGCCUCGUGAAUUCAUCUCCGGGGGUAGAGCACUGUUUCGGCAAGGGGGUCAUCCCGACUUACCAACCCGAUGCAAACUGCGAAUACCGGAGAAUGUUAUCACGGGAGACACACGGCGGGUGCUAACGUCCGUCGUGAAGAGGGAAACAACCCAGACCGCCAGCUAAGGUCCCAAAGUCAUGGUUAAGUGGGAAACGAUGUGGGAAGGCCCAGACAGCCAGGAUGUUGGCUUAGAAGCAGCCAUCAUUUAAAGAAAGCGUAAUAGCUCACUGGUCGAGUCGGCCUGCGCGGAAGAUGUAACGGGGCUAAACCAUGCACCGAAGCUGCGGCAGCGACGCUUAUGCGUUGUUGGGUAGGGGAGCGUUCUGUAAGCCUGUGAAGGUGUGCUGUGAGGCAUGCUGGAGGUAUCAGAAGUGCGAAUGCUGACAUAAGUAACGAUAAAGCGGGUGAAAAGCCCGCUCGCCGGAAGACCAAGGGUUCCUGUCCAACGUUAAUCGGGGCAGGGUGAGUCGACCCCUAAGGCGAGGCCGAAAGGCGUAGUCGAUGGGAAACAGGUUAAUAUUCCUGUACUUGGUGUUACUGCGAAGGGGGGACGGAGAAGGCUAUGUUGGCCGGGCGACGGUUGUCCCGGUUUAAGCGUGUAGGCUGGUUUUCCAGGCAAAUCCGGAAAAUCAAGGCUGAGGCGUGAUGACGAGGCACUACGGUGCUGAAGCAACAAAUGCCCUGCUUCCAGGAAAAGCCUCUAAGCAUCAGGUAACAUCAAAUCGUACCCCAAACCGACACAGGUGGUCAGGUAGAGAAUACCAAGGCGCUUGAGAGAACUCGGGUGAAGGAACUAGGCAAAAUGGUGCCGUAACUUCGGGAGAAGGCACGCUGAUAUGUAGGUGAAGUCCCUCGCGGAUGGAGCUGAAAUCAGUCGAAGAUACCAGCUGGCUGCAACUGUUUAUUAAAAACACAGCACUGUGCAAACACGAAAGUGGACGUAUACGGUGUGACGCCUGCCCGGUGCCGGAAGGUUAAUUGAUGGGGUCAGCGCAAGCGAAGCUCUUGAUCGAAGCCCCGGUAAACGGCGGCCGUAACUAUAACGGUCCUAAGGUAGCGAAAUUCCUUGUCGGGUAAGUUCCGACCUGCACGAAUGGCGUAAUGAUGGCCAGGCUGUCUCCACCCGAGACUCAGUGAAAUUGAACUCGCUGUGAAGAUGCAGUGUACCCGCGGCAAGACGGAAAGACCCCGUGAACCUUUACUAUAGCUUGACACUGAACAUUGAGCCUUGAUGUGUAGGAUAGGUGGGAGGCUUAGAAGUGUGGACGCCAGUCUGCAUGGAGCCGACCUUGAAAUACCACCCUUUAAUGUUUGAUGUUCUAACGUUGACCCGUAAUCCGGGUUGCGGACAGUGUCUGGUGGGUAGUUUGACUGGGGCGGUCUCCUCCUAAAGAGUAACGGAGGAGCACGAAGGUUGGCUAAUCCUGGUCGGACAUCAGGAGGUUAGUGCAAUGGCAUAAGCCAGCUUGACUGCGAGCGUGACGGCGCGAGCAGGUGCGAAAGCAGGUCAUAGUGAUCCGGUGGUUCUGAAUGGAAGGGCCAUCGCUCAACGGAUAAAAGGUACUCCGGGGAUAACAGGCUGAUACCGCCCAAGAGUUCAUAUCGACGGCGGUGUUUGGCACCUCGAUGUCGGCUCAUCACAUCCUGGGGCUGAAGUAGGUCCCAAGGGUAUGGCUGUUCGCCAUUUAAAGUGGUACGCGAGCUGGGUUUAGAACGUCGUGAGACAGUUCGGUCCCUAUCUGCCGUGGGCGCUGGAGAACUGAGGGGGGCUGCUCCUAGUACGAGAGGACCGGAGUGGACGCAUCACUGGUGUUCGGGUUGUCAUGCCAAUGGCACUGCCCGGUAGCUAAAUGCGGAAGAGAUAAGUGCUGAAAGCAUCUAAGCACGAAACUUGCCCCGAGAUGAGUUCUCCCUGA